GACAGACACGAACAGAAGGAAGAUGAUGUAAAGGCAGGGAGAACAUCAUGUGAAGAAGGAGGAUUGAAGUGACGCAUCUGCAAGCAAAGGAAUGCCACAGAUUGCCAGCAAACCCAGAAGCUAGGAAGAGGCAAGGAAGGAUUCUUCUGAAGCUUUCGGAGGAAGCAUGGCCCGGCCAACACCUUGAUUUCUGAUUUCUAAACUACUCAGCCCGCCUGCACCCAGGUGAAAUAAACAGCCUUGUUGCUCACACAAAGCCUGUUUGGUGGUCUCUUCACAUGGACACAUGAGACACUUGGUGCCGAAGACCCAGGUCAGUGAGACUCCUUCAGGAGACCAGUCCCCUGUCCUCACCCUCACUCCGUGAGGAAAUCCACCUAUGACCUUGGGUCCUCAGACCAACCAGCCCAAGGAACAUCUCACCGAUUUUAAAUCAGAUCUACUUGGCUUAGCUGCUGAAGACUGAUGCUGACUGAUCCCCUCAGAAGCCCCCAGACCAUCACGGACACCAAGCUUUGGGUAACUCUUACAGUGGAGGGAAGGCAGGAAUGUCAGGCCUCUGAGCACAGCUAAGCUGUCAUAUCCCCUGUGACCUGCACGAAUACAUCCAGAUGGCCUGAAGCAACUGAAGAUCCACAAAAGAAGUGAAAAUAGCCUUAACUGAUGACAUUCCACCAUUGUGAUUUGUUUCUGCCCCACCCUAACUGAUCAAUGUACUUUGUCAUCUCCCCCAUCCUUAAGAAGGUUCUUUGUAAUUCUCCCCACCCUUGAGAAUGUACUUUGUGAGAUCCAUCCCCUGCCCUCAAAACAUUGCUCCUAAUUCCACUGCCUAUCCCAAAAUCUAUAAGAACUAAUGAUAAUCCACCACCCUUUGCUGACUCUCUU
rnacentral:lncRNA from 1 species